AUUGAACGCUGGCGGCAGGCCUAACACAUGCAAGUCGAGCGGUAGAGAGGUGCUUGCAUCUCUUGAGAGCGGCGGACGGGUGAGUAAUGCCUAGGAAUCUGCCUAGUGGUGGGGGAUAACGUUCGGAAACGGACGCUAAUACCGCAUACGUCCUACGGGAGAAAGCGGGGGAUCUUCGGACCUCGCGCCAUUAGAUGAGCCUAGGUCGGAUUAGCUAGUUGGUGAGGUAAUGGCUCACCAAGGCGACGAUCCGUAACUGGUCUGAGAGGAUGAUCAGUCACACUGGAACUGAGACACGGUCCAGACUCCUACGGGAGGCAGCAGUGGGGAAUAUUGGACAAUGGGCGAAAGCCUGAUCCAGCCAUGCCGCGUGUGUGAAGAAGGUCUUCGGAUUGUAAAGCACUUUAAGUUGGGAGGAAGGGUAGUAACCUAAUACGUUGCUACUUGACGUUACCGACAGAAUAAGCACCGGCUAACUUCGUGCCAGCA
rnacentral:rRNA from 1 species